rnacentral:rRNA from 1 species
UACUAAUCAUAGAUCAAUAAUAUAAAACCCUACAAUUACUCCAUAUUUUUAAAAUAAACCAUUUAUUACAAUUAAAGUAUAGGCGAUAGAAAUUAUAAAUGACUCUAUAGAAAAUAGUACCGCAAGGGAAACUUGAAAGAAAAUUAUAAGUAAUAAAUAGCAAAGCCUAAUACUUGUACCUUUUGCAUAAUGACUCAACUAGAACUUAUUAGCAAAAAGAAUUUAAGUUAACUAACCCGAAACCAGACGAGCUACCUAUUAAGCAGCCUACAGGGCAAACCCGUCUAUGUUGCAAAAUAGUGGGAUGACUAUUAGGUAGUGGCGAGAAACCUAUCGAGCCUGGUGAUAGCUGGUUGUUCAGAAAAGAAUUUUAGUUCUAAUUUAAAUCUGCAAAAAACCUAAAUGAAUUUUAAUGUAGACUUAAAAAAUAUUCUAAAAGGGGACAGCCUUUUAGACACAGGAUACAACCUUAAUUAGUGAGUAAUAUAAAAUAAACCACAUUAGUUGGCCUAAGAGCAGCCACCAAAUAAGAAAGCGUUCAAGCCCAGCAGUAAAACUUGAACUAAUUUAAAAUAUAUAUUUUCAACUCCUAAUAUAACACUGAACUAUUCCAUUUAUAAAUAGAAGCAAUAAUGUUGAUAUGAGUAAUAAGAAUUAAUUCUCCCAGCACGCGUGUAUAUCAGAACGAAUAAAUCACUGAUAGUUAACAAAACCAACAUAAACAACCCACUUACAAAUUAUAAUAUAAAUUGUUAAUCCAACACAGGAGUGCAAAUAAGGGAAAGAUUUAAAAAAGUAAAAGGAACUCGGCAAACACUAACUCCGCCUGUUUACCAAAAACAUCACCUCUAGCAUAAUAAGUAUUAGAGGCACUGCCUGCCCGGUGACUUUAGUUUAACGGCCGCGGUAUCCUGACCGUGCAAAGGUAGCAUAAUCAUUUGUUCUCUAAAUAAGGACUUGUAUGAAUGGCUUAACGAGAGUUUAACUGUCUCUUACUUUUGAUCAAUGAAAUUGACAUCCCCGUGAAGAGGCGGGGAUAAAAAAAUAAGACGAGAAGACCCUAUGGAGCUUUAAUUAACUAACCCAUGAACACUAUUAUAUUUCCAAAGAAAUAAAAACAGUUUAUUUGGGUCAGCAAUUUAGGUUGGGGUGACCUCGGGAUAAAAACUAGCUCCCGAAAACAACCAUCUAGACUCACUUGUCAAAAUUAUUUAAUCUUAAUAUUGACCCGUCAAUGACGAUCAACGGAACAAGUUACCCUAGGGAUAACAGCGCAAUCCUAUUUAAGAGUUCUUAUCGACAAUUAGGGUUUACGACCUCGAUGUUGGAUCAGGACAUCCCAAUGGUGCAACAGCUAUUAAUGUGUUCGUUUGUUCAACGAUUAAAGUCCUACGUGAUCUGAGUUCAGACCGGAGUAAUCCAGGUCGGUUUCUAUCUAUUUAUAAGUCUCUCCCAGUACGAAAGGACAAGAGAGACAGGGCCCACUUAAACUAAGCGCCUUAAUAAAAUAAAUGAACUAAUAUUAAUUUUAUAAAACAAAUAUGAUCAAAGAAUAAGAUUAU